UACGGAGGGGGCUAGCGUUGUUCGGAAUUACUGGGCGUAAAGCGCACGUAGGCGGCUUUGUAAGUUAGAGGUGAAAGCCCGGGGCUCAACUCCGGAAUUGCCUUUAAGACCGCAUCGCUCGAAUUGUGGAGAGGUAAGUGGAAUUCCGAGUGUAGAGGUGAAAUUCGUAGAUAUUCGGAAGAACACCAGUGGCGAAGGCGACUUACUGGACACAUAUUGACGCUGAGGUGCGAAAGCGUGGGGAGCAAACAGG
rnacentral:rRNA from 1 species